UUGGAGGUAGAGGUAUUUAAUUAGAGAACAUCUUAAAAGAACCCAGUGUAUGUGUCCACAGGGACAGUCACAGGACAAAACAUCCUCUAACCCCAUAAAUAGUCACAAGGUUGACAUUAUCUCCUGGAUCACUGGUCUCAGAAUUGUGCUCCUCAGAUGCCUGCGGGGUCAGCCAAGGGUGUACUUUCCUGACCAGGGCAUUGGACCAUAGACACAAACCAAUGGACUGAGUGAGACCAGCUCCUUAAAGCCAAGGCUCAGCACAGACCAGGGAGGUGGACAGGUCAUCCAGGCCAGAGCAGGCAACAGAUCACCCCUCCAGGGAGUCCAGGAGUCAGAAAGAAACCAAGAGGAGUGUGCCAGCUUUAUUCAUGCCCUUUAGACCAGGGGCUGACUGUCCCAACUGGGUUUUCUUGGCUGGAACCUCAGCAAGCCCUCCCUUCACUAAGGCUUCCUCUGCACCUGGCUAACUCAGGACAGAAGGAAGAGGCUGUUAGAGUGCACUUGUGCAAGAAGACCAUAAAGACUUGGUUCCUGCUGGCAGACAUGCAGACAGAAAUUCAUUUCCCAGCACGAUGAAUCAGCACAAUGACAGAUCUAAUGCAGCCCUAGGAAUGACACAAGUCAUAACACAGCAUGAGAAAUGAACUCUGCGUAUAUUCUCAAUUUGUUUCCUGCUCUGAAGGUUCCAAUGCUGAACUGUCUAGAACCAGAUGUGACCUCAAGUUCAGGUCUUGGUGGAAGUGGACAAAUAGGCAGAAAUGGAGGCUGUCACAGGCAUGCAGACACCUGCCUGGCCUGGGACAUAUGGGCUUUCAUCCAGAUGAGUUUUCCAAGAUGCCAGGAUGAUUCUAACAUGCAGUAAUUUCACAAGGAGCAGCUCAAGGGUAUUGGCUUCAGAAUUAUCCUGAGUUGGAUUCCACUCUUGCCUUGUAGCUGAGAAGCCCCAUGACCUUGGGCAGUUUCUUAAUUCUCCAAACUUCAUCUGCAAAAUGCAAGUCAUAAAAGUCUUUCUUAUCUCCCAAGUUCCUGUAAAGAUUAAAUGAGAUAUACAAGCAUGGAGCUCAAGCUCAUGGUGUAUGGCACGUAGUAAGUGCUAAGAAACCAACAAGGUUUUUAGGGGAGAGGGUGGGAUUCUACUUGUCUGUGAUGUUUGUGCUCACCUGCUUAAGACCAGAAAACCUGGUUGCAUUACUGCUUCACUUUCUGCUGGUGGGUAUGGUUGGGAUUGCUUGGCAAAGAAACUUCUCGAACUUUUAGAACCCCAGUCUCUCUUAGGUGUUCAUAAACUCUUCAUUGUUCAUAGGCCUGCUCUAAUCUUUUAGAGAAAAAUGAAGAAUAUUGAUAUUGAAGUUGCCAGAGGUUCUUGGCUAGGAAAUAUCAGUGAAGUUCCUUUUGAGGACUUAAGUGUAUACAAUGAUUGUAUUUGAGUUUUGAAUUUGAAAGAAGUAUAUGACAAACUUAAAAAAAAAAAAAACUUUUUGUCUAAGGAAGAGAUCAUCCCAUAAACUGUCCCAAGAUUCUGG